AAGGCGCCACAUCUACUUGACUUUUGAAGCAAGGGCCUUUCCAAUUAAAUCUGAUUUUCUUAGGAAGAAAAUCAUAUUAAAAGAUAAGAGACCUUAUGAGAUAAGAUCUAAUCUUUUUAGCAUGAUUGGAUAAUGAUUUGGAAUCAAAAAAGACCUAUUUAAGGAGAUGGUCUCCUAAGAUUUUAUUAUUAUUGAAUUCUUCCUCUCUUUCUCCACACCUCCCAUCUUCUCUCUCUUUCUAAUGCCUAAGGUUGGGCAUCCAUCAUCCCACAUGCCUGAGUUGAGAGGAGUCUCUUCUACAGCAAAAAACAAGGAGAAAAGGCUACAGUUCAAUAGUUGUGAUUGCAGUCAAGAUCAACAGUUGAUCAAGGUUCAAAGAGACUAAGAUCCUACUUAGAGAAGAAGGAUCUACCAUGAAAAAAAAUUUAAGGUUGAUCUCGGUGGAUACCUGUAGAGGCU
rnacentral:lncRNA from 1 species